ensembl:lncRNA
CACAUUAAACAGUUGGUGUGGAGCUGAGAUAAAGUCCAGUCAUUUCUGCUUGACAUUUAGCUCUGGGUCCAGCCAGCACUAUUAGCUCUAGUCCACUUAACCAUGUCUACAACCGUUAACUCACAAUUACACCUGACCUAACGGCCCAGCGCCGGACAGCAUCUGGCAGGAGUUGAAGUCUGGUUUUCUGAUUAACCAAAUAACAGUGGGGUGAAGUCUGGCAUAGAACAUCAUCAGUACAUAAUGUACUAGCUGGCUUGUUGUGACAUUAUCUUCAUAACCCAAAUGACAAUCAUUUAUUAAAGACAUCAUUUUACAUGACAACAUCAAAACAUCUGGGAAUAAUGUCAUGUUGCAAUGGUCGUUAUGAGUAUGGUACUUUAAUCAGAAUUCAAGUGGUGUAACUAUUCCAAUGGAUAAAAUGAUACAGAGGGGUUCCAUAAACAGGAAGUAGUAUUAUACAGUACAGGAAGUAGUAUUAUACAGUACAGAGAGGUUCCAUAAACAGGAAGUAGUAUUAUACAGUACAGAGGGGUUCCAUAAACAGGAAGUAGUAUUAUACAGUACAGAGAGGUUCCAUAAACAGGAAGUAGUAUUAUACAGUACAGAGAGGUUCCAUAAACAGGAAGUAGUAUUAUACCGUACAGAGAGAUUCCAUAAACAGGAAGUAGUAUUAUACAGUACAGAGAGGUUCCAUAUACAGGAAGUAGUAUUAUACAGUACAGAGGGGUUCCAUAAACAGGAAGUAGUAUUAUACAGUACAGAGAGGUUCCAUAAACAGGAAGUAGUAUUAUACAGUACAGAGGGGUUCCAUAAACAGGACGUAGUAAAAUACAGUACAGAGGGGUUCCAUAAACAGGAAGUAGUAUUAUACAGUACAGAGAGGUUCCAUAUACAGGAAGUAGUAUUAUACAGUACAGAGGUUCCAUAAACAGGAAGUAGUAAAAUAUAGUACAAAGGAGUUCCAUAAACAGGAAGUAGUAUUAUACAGUACAGAGAGGUUCCAUAUACAGGAAGUAGUAUUAUACAGUACAGAGGGGUUCCAUAAACAGGAAGUAGUAUUAUACAGUACAGGAAGUAGUAUUAUACAGUACAGAGAGGUUCCAUAAACAGGAAGUAGUAUUAUACAGUACAGAGAGGUUCCAUAAACAGGAAGUAGUAUUAUACAGUAUAGUCUAACAUCUGAACUCUCUCACUGAGGUUUGUGCCUUUAAUGUACCAGGUAUCCCUCCCUAAACCCUCCAUAGACCCUCCAUACCCUCCAUAUACCCUUCCAUAGACCCUCCAUAGACCCUCCAUAGACCCUCCAUAGACACUACUGUAAUGUCCUCUAUCAGAAUACAUCAACCAUCCAUAGACCCUCCAUAGACCCUCCAUAGAUAUACCCUCCAUCCAUAGACCCUCCAUAGACCCUCCAUAGACCCUCCAUAGACACUACUGUAAUGUCCUCUAUCAGAAUACAUCAACCAUCCAUAGACCCUCCAUAGACCCUCCAUAUACCAUCCAUAGACCCUCCAUAGAUCCUCCAUAGACCCUCCAUAGACCCUCCAUAGACCCUCCAUAGACCCUCCAUAUACCCUCCAUAGACCCUCCAUAGACCAUCCAUAGACCCUCCAUAGACACUACUGUAACCCUCUAUCAGAAUACAUCAACCAUCCAUAGACCCUCCAUAGACCCUCCAUAGACCCUCCAUAUACCAUCCAUAGACCCUCCAUAGACCAUCCAUAUACCCUCCAUAGACCCUCCAUAGACCCUCCAUAGACCCUCCAUAUACCCUCCAUAGACCCUCCAUAGACCCUCC